AAUAUUGAAGAAAAAAUAAGAAUUGCUUAGUUAAAAAAGUUAACCUCUCUCUGUUUAUAUUUUCUCUUGUGUAAACUCAAAAUAAUUACAUAUUUUGUGAUGGAUUAUACUGUAGGAAGUAUAGCUGAUUCAAUAACACUGAUGAUAAAAUUAAAGUCAAGAGAAUUUCAGUCAAACUAAACGAAUAGAAACAAGGUAAGGGUAGAAAGUUGGAUAUCAACAACAAGUAAACGAGGGAGGAAACAUCUGAAAAAUCUGAAAAAAAACAUGCUUAUUAACUAGUAAAAAUAAUAUAAAUUAACACGAUAAUGAAGUGAGUAGCUCGGAAUCUAUUUUGAAAACAAAAGAGGAAGAAAAAACGCAAAGAAAAAAAUGGUAUGAGUGAUAAUCAACAACGAGAGAAUGUAGAUAAUAUUUCAUCAAUAAUUUCUAAUAAAAUGAAAAAUAAAAAAAAAGUAUCUACUGAUGGAUGGCAGCACAGUUGAUGGUGAAAAAGAACAAUUAAAUAAGGAUAAGGAUAAUACAGAACGAAGUCCAAAAAAAUUAAGAUUUGUCAAACAAGAAGAUGCUCAAAAUGCGGCAAAAUGGUGAUGUUUUCAAAGAAAAGCAUUUGUGUGAUUAGUGCAAGGCAAUAUUUGUUAGAAAUUUGAAUUUCUGUAAGUAUAAUCAAUGUCAUACAUAUUUUUGAAUAUUCCUUUGAGAUCUAGGGAGCUGAAGAAAAGCAGUUAUGGAAAUUAUUUGAACCUUGUGGUUUGAUAGAAUCAGCUGUUAGAAUUGUCAGAGACCCUGGUACCAGUAUGGAAAAAGGAUUUAGAUAUGUCAAUUUCAAAGAUGCCUAUGCUGUACAAUCAGAUUUCCAAAUGGAAAAUGUGAAACUUGGUGAUCGGGAAUUGAGAAUAAAAAGCGAGUUGUAUAACUGAUUGCGUAUAUGUAGGCGCUACAAAAACACGUUCAGUAAAAAUCAAACAAUAAAAUUGAAUUUCCACGAAAACCAUUGUUCAAGUUCGAAAACUGAUGUGAUUUUCGGAAUCUCCAUGAGAAAAUGCAUGAUACCAAGUGUUUUUUGGAUACUUACUUUUUUCUGAUGUGAUUAGAUAGUUUUUUUUUUAAAUAUCAAAUUUGUAUAUAAUAUAGUCUCAUUGCUCAAAUUCGAAAACUGAUGUGAUUUUCGGAAUCUCCAUGGGAAAAUACAUGAUACCACGCGUUUUUUAUACUUUCCUUUUUCUGAUGUGAUUAAAUAGUUGUUUUUAAAAAUAUUAAAUUUGAAUUUGAUUAAUUUAGUCUCACUCUUAAGGAGAGGCAAUGUAUCAUACAGAAUAUUCAGAAUAUUGGUUGAAUAACAGGAAAAAGACUAUUAAUAGUUUCCAGCGUCGCUCUGUAGACAGCGACAAAAUCGUAAAAUCAUAGGUUCCAUUGAAUGUAAUGUUUCUAGAAAAUAGUUAAUUUUAUAUUUCGGCACCAAUAAAAGUAUAAUAAAGCUGCAAUCCCUCAAAAUAAGAAAAAGGAAGUCCAUCAUAAAAUAUUAAAUUCUUUUAACUAAAUACCGACAUGGAUAGAACUUACCCGUAUACUAAAAAUAGUUUUAGGUAUUUUUGCAAACUCUGAAAUUGUAUUAUAUUUUUGAAUAUGAAAAUUUUACAUAUAGUGUAGCUCCAUACAAAAUAAUUGAAGUUAUAUAAUUAUCACUUUAAUAAUAAAAUUAGAAAACGCCAAGUAUCACCAAUCAAUAGUUUAAAGUAUCCAUGUUCAUUAAAUUUAAUGAUAAUCUACGUAUGAGUAGCAAAAAAUUUGAAUUUCUUUUUAGGACACUAGAUACAUAUAUAAUUUCAUUAGUGAUUACAGGUAGGUACAUGAAAAUGUUUAUUAAGUAAAGAAAGAACGUAGAAUUUAUACAGUGUUAAAUUUAAUUCAAGUUUUGAAAAUUUCUGUUUCAUUUUCUAUAAAUAAAGCCUUUAUCAAGUGCUGAAUUUUGGAUACAUUUAGAAUAGGAAUUACAAAAGAAAACAUCUAGAAGAGGUAUAUCAGUUUGCUUAAAUAAACAAAAAAGGGUGGUUGGUUUUCGAAGACAUCUAAUAAUUUCAGUAUCAUUCUUGGAACAAAUAAAAAGUAGGUAGUAGAGGGUUAUUUUUCAAUAACACAUUUAUAUUCUUGAUAUAACAAAUGUAGCAAAAAAAAGUAAAUUCUUUGAAGGAUAAAGAAAGGGUCUGAAAGGUUCCACAAUUUAUCAAAAUAUUACAUUUGGACCAUAAAAUAAACAUAAGAUUUUAAAAAUAGAAUAACAAUCCCUCGAAAGAUAUUGAAAUAUCAACCCUUGAAACUAUCUUCUACCUACCUACGAAUUAUUGUACCCCGAGAAGCUCAUACAAGAAAUUAAAUAAUUGAAAAGUGAAUGUUUAAAUACCAAUCAGUCACUUGAAAAAUAUUUUCAAUUUUCUUGACAACUUCAUUGGUUUAUUUUUUUUUUUGAGAAAAAAAUAUAUUGAAGCAUUUAAGUUUCAUGAACAAAUUGCGCACUGAAUUUAAACAGCAAAUUAUUUUCUAUUUCCUAUAUCUACCAAUUAUCGAACAAGAUGAACGAAUACCAGAAAAAAAUAUAUUUGACACGUUGACAUAGAAAGUCUUGUAUGAAAGAGAAAACUCAAAUAUUAGUUUAGUAACAACAACAAUAUGUGAAAGGUUAUUUCAGUUUCAGCUGAGUUUAUAUUAGUUUAUUAACAAGAAUUAAAAUCAUUAUACCUGUUUCAUAAUAAGCAAAUUCUACAAUUUCUAUAUAUUGAAGUCAAGUGAAAAAUAAAUACUCGUAAUUAUGAUAUACAUUUUUAUUUGAUAGUUGUAUAAAGUACAUCCGAUUCGCUUAAAUACCAAAGGACACAUUAUGAUCCUUAUCACAUAACAUAUGACUAGAUGGUAACCAGAAUUAUUGUCAACGUAUAGAAUUUUAUGUCAAUUUAAUAAGAAGUCAGUACAAAAAAAAUAUCCACACAUCAGGUACUUUUGAAUAAGUACCAAAGAAAUUAGUAUAAAUCUCAUUUUAAAUUACCUACAUCUAUUCGUAAUACCCUUUAUAUAAAAAUACAAAUAUCUUGUUGAAAUACAUGGGAGAGUCGUUAUUUUUGAAGUAUUAGACAAAUGAACAUUACUUAAUUAACUUUCUUUAUUGUUUUUAAAAAAGAAAAAUUUGUAACUUAAAAUAUUCAUUUCUUUUUAUUAAUAAACGACCCUACGCCAAGCAUUAACCAAACUUAUUGUUUUUCUUUUGGACUUUUCAGUCUAUAGCACCAAAUCACAAGAUAUUAAAAAAUUAAAUAGUGAGAUCCUCCCAAUCCUCUUUUUCGCGUGGAGAUAACACAAUUUGUAAAUGGGAUACUCUUGACAAUUGAUCGUAUAUUCUAGGCGCCAAUGGGUUGUUUGUGAGAUCUAUUGAUUCUAAUGAAGGAGCUUCUUUCAAACAAUCUACGUCCAAAUCUACAACAAAGAAAAUUAUUUUACACCUAUUAUAUGUAUAUUUAAGGUAACUUCAGAAAUAAA